ACAUAUCACACACAAUAACUAGAGAAUAUAGAUAUACGCACAAAAACUUCACUGAAAAAGAAGAAGGUCAUCGAAAAACGUACUAUGCACGCAUCAAACACACAUACACCAGAUCGGAGGAAAAAAUGGGAUAGAAGAGAGCUUGAGGGAGAGAACAGUGAGAGAAGUGUGAAAUAAAAAAUUAGAGGUUUUGAUUAGAGAGAUUUGAGAGAGGGAUAGAGAUGAGGGAGAGCUGAUCGGAGAUUGGGGGAGAGUGAAGAGAAAAAUAGUAGAAUCGAGAGAGGUAAGUGAGGGAGAGAAACAGUGAAGGUCAAUCUGGCGACCAGAUUUCACCGGAGAUCGAAUUAGCAUUUAAAAACGACCAAAACCGGCGAGUAACACUCUUUUGCCGACGGGCUCUCGUCGAAAAUAGUGCUUCCACAGAUCUGUGCCUAGAGCUCAUCACCACCAAGGUCAUAGGAGCUCCGGAGAGUUCGAAUCUCGCCGAAAACAGUGAAGUCGGCGUCCAAUCAAAACACCCAAUCCAUU
rnacentral:lncRNA from 1 species